UACGUAGGGAGCAAGCGUUGUCCGGAAUCAUUGGGCGUAAAGCGCGCGUAGGUGGCCCCGUAAGUCCGCUGUGAAAGUCAAAGGCUCAACCUUUGAAAGCCGGUGGAUACUGUGGGACUAGAGUACGGAAGAGGCGAGUGGGAUUCCUGGUGUAGCGGUGGAAUGCGCAGAUAUCAGGAGGAACACCAAUAGCGAAGGCAGCUCGCUGGGACGUUACUGACACUGAGGCGCGAAAGCGUGGGGAGCGAACAGG
rnacentral:rRNA from 1 species